rnacentral:piRNA from 1 species
UCCUGUUCCUGUUGGUUUCCUUUGA